GUUCUGUCGCUGACUUGUGAAAACAAGGAAGAGGAAAGUCCGGGCAACACAGAGUACCAUACUUCCUAACAGGAAGGGGUUUGAUUCGAGAGGAGCAAAUCACAGCAAGUGCCACAGAAAAUAACCGCCUUUGCAAAAAGGUAAGGGUGAAAACGUGGGGUAAGAGCCUACGGCUGUAAUGGGAGACCAAGACAGUGGGUAAACCUUAUGGGUUGAAAGACCAAAUAUACCGAAGCUUGAGGGUUACUCGCCCGAUUCGGAGGGUAGGUCGUUAGAGAUGUACAGCAAUGUGCAUAGUAGAUAAAUGACAGAAGCCUUUUUAAGGAACAGAACCCGGCUUAUAUAUCUACCG
rnacentral:RNase_P_RNA from 1 species